rfam:Macrostomum lignano uti_cns_0011577, whole genome shotgun sequence.
AGGGUUGUAGCCUAGUAGUCAAGGCAUUAGACUUACAACUUGAAGGUUGGGGUUCGAUUCUUGACUUACUUG